rnacentral:rRNA from 27 species
GGCCUGAGAGGGUGAUCCCCCACACUGGUACUGAGACACGGACCAGACUCCUACGGGAGGCAGCAGUGAGGAAUAUUGGACAAUGGGUGCGAGCCUGAUCCAGCCAUCCCGCGUGAAGGACGACGGCCCUAUGGGUUGUAAACUUCUUUUGUAUAGGGAUAAACCUACCCUCGUGAGGGUAGCUGAAGGUACUAUACGAAUAAGCACCGGCUAACUCCGUGCCAGCAGCCGCGGUAAUACGGAGGGUGCAAGCGUUAUCCGGAUUUAUUGGGUUUAAAGGGUCCGUAGGCUGAUGUGUAAGUCAGUGGUGAAAUCUCACAGCUUAACUGUGAAACUGCCAUUGAUACUGCAUGU